CUGCGAACAGGGAAUCAGCAUUGAGCAGGUGUGUUUCCAUCAGAGGUCUGCAGGACUUGGUUCUUGGCCCUACACUAAUUACCACGACAUUAUUCAUGGCCUGGAAGAAAACACAAUAUCAUCGCUGAUCAUGUUUGAGAUGACACGGGAAGUGGAGCAGCUCGAGUCUCUGGGCUUGCAACUGGUGCUGCAAGAGCCAGGGCUGGGGCCGUUUCCAGGACCGUUAACAGCUGCCAGGAAUAGGGAAAAGCUGAGGAUUUUCAAAAGAGCUGGGUCAGACCUACGGUCCAUCUAGUCCAGUAUCCUGUCUCCAAGAGCAACCACUAAAGAGCUUCAGGGGGAGUGCACAGAACAGGCCAAUUUUGGAGAGAUCCACUCCUUGUCUUCCCCUCCUAGCUUCUGCCACUCAGAGGUUUAGGGAGACCCAGGGCAUGGUAAUAAAAAAAAGGUAAUAAUUGGAGAUAUACCAAUUUCCUAGAACUAGAACGGACCUUGAAGGGUCAUUGAGUCCAGCCCCCUGCCUUCACUAGC